UACGUAGGGUGCGAGCGUUGUCCGGAAUUACUGGGCGUAAAGAGCUCGUAGGUGGUUUGUCGCGUCGUCUGUGAAAUACCGGGGCUUAACUUCGGAGCUGCAGGCGAUACGGGCGUGACUUGAGUGCUGUAGGGGAGACUGGAAUUCCUGGUGUAGCGGUGAAAUGCGCAGAUAUCAGGAGGAACACCGAUGGCGAAGGCAGGUCUCUGGGCAGUAACUGACGCUGAGGAGCGAAAGCAUGGGUAGCGAA
rnacentral:rRNA from 1 species